GUUCCACCGGGUCGAAAACACCUAGCCAACCUGUGAGACUUAGACAGUAAAAAAGUCCACUGCAGAAAACAAUCUUGUUCCAAAUACUACUAACAAAAGGCAAGCGAUUUUGAUAAUUAACAGUAACCCAUUCAGUUGCCCCAGGAUGACAAGUGCUGAUAGCAACAACUGUGGGACUGAUGUGCUUAACUGUAAAAACAAUGCAGCUGGUAGAUGUUGGAGAAGACGAGAAAGCAACUAUCUGAUAAGUCAAUUCAAAUCU
rnacentral:misc_RNA from 1 species